AGGGGGAGGAGAGGAUGAUAUGGAGGCCUGGGAGCCUGUCCUGCUGCCCUGGUUCUCCAGCUUCAGACGGUCAUUCUCCGCCUUCAGCUUCUCGAUCUCCAGCUGCAGAAAAACACCCCAGAAGGAAAAUAAACCGACAUACCUGCAUGCGGUUCAUGGCCUCCCGGAGCUGGUCCAGCUGAUGUGCAGAGCUGAGAGCCUCCAGCCGGAUGUCGGUCAGUUUCAUCUCCUUCUCCCUGAGCUCACUGCGAAGCUGCAUCACCGUCUCGGCCUCACUGUCCAAACACUCCGACAAUCUGUACGCACACAAUACACUUUCAAGACAUGUCAUACUGUAGUCUGAGCAGAGUUUUGUAGUAUAGAAUGAGUAACUUUAAAUGCAGAUGCUGAGCUGAACUCACAGUGUGUUGGAGUGUGUGUUCCUCAGCAUGUGUCCGGUGCCAGAGGUUCCAUUGUGAGGCAGUUUCGGUGAAGACGGCAGCGACGAGUCCGUCAUCUCCUCGAUGUCGGAGUGAGACGAGGCCGAUUUGGGAGAUUUCUUCUUGCUGAACGCUUGUUUGAAAGAGCUUCUCAGCUGCAGGUGGAAAACAGACACAAACAUGGAGAGACGGUGAGCAGGAGAGAUUCGUAAAACCACAGCUGGGAGGAAGAGGAGGAGUGCUGAAGGAAAACAGCUGUGAAAAAGUGCAACUGUGGUUGUCCUGUUCCUUGAGAGGUGCAGGACUUUAUAUCGCAGCGAAAAAUGAUCCCACAUAUUUCCAGGUGGACUUUUCCUUUAAAGAGCGAGCUCAAGUGUCAUAAGAGCAGUUAUCAGGGAGAGGAAAAGGUACUACCACUGGAAGCAGGAAGGAAGAAAAAGGAGUGAGCGUCCAUGUUGGAGCCCACGCUGGAGUGGCUGGUUGCACUGGCGACGCUGCUGACGCUGUCGGAGGAGUGCUGCCUCCUGAUGCGAAGGUCCGGCGGCUGAUUCUGCUGCUGCUGUUGUUGUGGACUGCCGUUAGUGCCAGCUGAGGAGAAAAUGCAUGUUUGUCAUAUUAGGACUUAUACGGUGUCUAUUAAAUAUCAUUUCCAUUAAAUCCCAAGUGAUCA